rnacentral:rRNA from 1 species
GUGGGGAAUAUUGGACAAUGGGCGCAAGCCUGAUCCAGCCAUGCCGCGUGAGUGAUGAAGGCCUUAGGGUUGUAAAGCUCUUUCACCGAUGAAGAUAAUGACGGUAGUCGGAGAAGAAGCCCCGGCUAACUUCGUGCCAGCAGCCGCGGUAAUACGAAGGGGGCUAGCGUUGUUCGGAUUUACUGGGCGUAAAGCGCACGUAGGCGGUUUGUUAAGUCAGAGGUGAAAUCCCGGAGCUCAACUCCGGAACUGCCUUUGAUACUGGCAAGCUAGAGUCCGGAAGAGGUAAGUGGAACUCCUAGUGUAGAGGUGGAAUUCGUAGAUAUUAGGAAGAACACCAGUGGCGAAGGCGGCUUACUGGUCCGGAACUGACGCUGAGGUGCGAAAGCGUGGGGAGCAAACAGGAUUAGAUACCCCGGUAGUCC